AUUUAGUCUCACACUUACUACUGUAGUUAUAUUCUUCAUUUAGACUUUUAGGUAUUUAAAUUAGUAACAAAAUGAUAUAUUUUAGCCAUCUGAUGAAGAGUUAUCUAUUGCACAUACGGAGGGUAAUUCCACGGAAACACCUGAUGUGAAUCGCUCAAGUGAAGAUAAUGUUAUACAGUCGUUAAAAAAUCGUGCAUUAGAUGCUGAUAAAACGGCUAGAGCAGAUAAAUUACUCCAACAAAAUAAAUUAUAUAUACUUUAAAAUGGUUUAAAUGUAGCCAAGGAAAACAAUGAUGGAUACAUCGUGGAAUAUUCAUUAGAAUACAAUUUCUUGCGAUUAUCGCCUGCAGCUCGGCAAAGAUUGAACAUCCCAGUUAAGAUCGUUACUUUGGAUUCAUUAAACGACAAACGUUUAGGCGAUGCUUUUUUAAGAUUGAUCCUAAAUGAAUUUCUGGGCUAUGACGAUUUGUUAAUGGCAAGCAUCAAAACGUUAAUGGAAUACGAAGAUAACAAAGGUUUCCUACGGUGACUUUUUUUUAAAUAUGAAGUAACGUUUAUCAAUAGAAACGUUUUAAGACAUAUUAAUCUU